rnacentral:rRNA from 1 species
AUUGAACGCUGGCGGCAGGCUUAACACAUGCAAGUCGAACGGUAACAGAGAAGUGCUUGCACUUUUGCUGACGAGUGGCGGACGGGUGAGUAAUGCUUGGGAAUAUGCCAAAACGUGGGGGACAACAGUUGGAAACGACUGCUAAUACCGCAUAAUGUCUUCGGACCAAAGCAGGGGACCUUCGGGCCUUGCGCGUUUUGAUUAGCCCAAGUGGGAUUAGCUAGUUGGUAAGGUAAUGGCUUACCAAGGCGACGAUCCCUAGCUGGUCUUAGAGGAUGACCAGCCACACUGGAACUGAGACACGGUCCAG